rnacentral:rRNA from 1 species
UAUCCAUUGGAGGGCAAGUCUGGUGCCAGCAGCUGCGGUAAUACCAGCUCCAAUAGCGUAUAUUAAAGUUGUUGCAGUUAAAAAGCUCGUAGUUGGACUUGUGUGCGCUGUCCGCGGGUGGCCUGCGCCCAAAAGGGCGUUUCGGUUCGGCCCCGGUGGCGCCUUGAAAUCUGCAGCUGGGGGGACGUUGGCCUUAACUGGUCGGCGACCGCACGCCGGCUGCUCGGUUACUGUGAGAAAAUUAGAGUGUUCAAGGCAGGCAUUGGGUGCAAUUGAAUACAUUAGCAUGGAAUAAUAAAAUAUGGCUCCUGCCGUAUUUUGUUGGUUUUGACUGGUGGGAGUAAUGAUUGAUAGGGACGGUUGGGGGUGCUAGUAUUGAGCGGCCAGAGGUGAAAUUCAUGGAUUCGCUCAAGGCUAACUUAUGCGAAAGCAUUCACCAAGGACGUCCUCUUUAAUCAAGAACGAAAGUUGGGGGAUCGAAGACGAUCAGAUACCGUCGUAGUCUCAACCAUAAACUAUGUCGACUUGGGAUCGGCGGUAGUUUUUUCAUUAAGACACUGUCGGGACCACGGGAGAAAUCAAAGUGUCUGGACUCUGGGGGAAGUAUGGUCGCAAGGCUGAAACUUGAAGGAAUUGACGGAAGGGCACCACCAGGAGUGGAGCCUGCGGCUUAAUUUGACCCAACACGGGGAAACUUACCAGGUCCAGAGAUGUAGAGGAUUGACAGAUUGAAGCUCUUUCUUGAUCACUUCGGUGGUGGUGCAUGGCCGUUCUUAGUUGGUGGAGUGAUUUGUCUGGUUAAUUCCGUUAACGAACGAGACCUCAGCCUGCUAGUGUAGUCGGCUGGAUUGCCUUUGGCGAUCCGUGAUUUCGACUUCUUAGAGGGACAAUCGACGCGCAGUCGAUGGAAGUUUGAGGCAAUAACAGGUCUGUGAUGCCCUUAGAUGUUCUGGGCCGCACGCGCGCUACACUGCUGGGCUCAGCGAGUUUUACUUGGCCGAGAGGCCCGGUUAAUCUUGUGAAAUCCCAGCGUGCUUGGGCUCGCCUCCUGCAACUGGAGGCGCCAACGAGGAAUUCCUAGUAGACGCAGGUCAUCAACCUGCAUCGAUUACGUCCCUGCCCUUUGUACACACCGCCCGUCGUUCCAUAAGAGUGAGGCAUCCGGUGAAUUCUCGGGAGAGCCUGGGCGUGGCCAGCAAUGGUCUGCUCGGGUUUGAACUUGCAUAAACUUGGUGCCUAUGAUUAGGG